UACGGAGGAUGCGAGCGUUAUCCGGAUUUAUUGGGUUUAAAGGGUGCGCAGGCGGUCUGUUAAGUCAGCGGUCAAAGCCCGGGGCUCAACCCCGGCCCGCCGUUGAAACUGGCAGUCUCGAGUUGGAGAGAAGUAUGCGGAAUGCGCGGUGUAGCGGUGAAAUGCAUAGAUAUCGCGCAGAACUCCGAUUGCGAAGGCAGCAUGGCCGGCUCCACACUGACGCUGAGGCACGAAAGCGUGGGUAGUCGAACAGGA
rnacentral:rRNA from 1 species